rnacentral:rRNA from 1 species
CACAUGACUCUCGGCAACGGAUAUCUCGGCUCUCGCAUCGAUGAAGAACGUAGCAAAAUGCGAUACCUGGUGUGAAUUGCAGAAUCCCGUGAACCAUUGAGUUUUUGAACGCAAGUUGCGCCCGAGGCCUUUUGGUCGAGGGCACGUCUGCCUGGGCGUCACGC